UUGGUCCAUUUGCCACAAGUGAUCGGGUAGCUGUUAUACUGCUGGCAGUAAUAAUCUCCAGCAUCAUCAACUUCAACACUGCUGAUGGUGAAUGUGAAAU